GGGUUGUGAGGUUAAGCGACUAAGCGUACACGGUGGAUGCCCCGGCAGUCAGAGGCGAUGAAGGACGUGCUAAUCUGCGAUAAGCGUCGGUAAGGUGAUAUGAACCGUUAUAACCGGCGAUUUCCGAAUGGGGAAACCCAGUGUGUUUCGACACACUAUCAUUAACUGAAUCCAUAGGUUAAUGAGGCGAACCGGGGGGAACUGAAACAUCUAAGUACCCCGAGGAAAAGAAAUCAACCGAGAUUCCCCCCAGUAGCGGCGAGCGAACGGGGAGGAGCCCAGAGCCUGAAUCAGUGUGUGUGUUAGUGGAAGCGUCUGGAAAGGCGCGCGAUACAGGGUGACAGCCCCGUACACAAAAAAUGCACAUACUGUGAGCUCGAUGAGUAGGGCGGGACACGUGGUAUCCUGUCUGAAUAUGGGGGGGGACCAUCCUCCAAGGCUAAAUACUCCUGACUGACCGAUAGUGAACCAGUACCGUGAGGGAAAGGCGAAAAAGAACCCCGGCGAGGGGAGUGAAAAAAGAACCUGAAACCGUGUACGUACAAGCAGUGGGAGCCUCUUUUAUGGGGGUGACUGCGUACCUUUUGUAUAAUGGGUCAGCGACUUAUAUUCUGUAGCAAGGUUAACCGAAUAGGGGAGCCGAAGGGAAACCGAGUCUUAACUGGGCGUUAAGUUGCAGGGUAUAGACCCGAAACCCGGUGAUUCAGCCAUGGGCAGGUUGAAGGUUGGGUAACACUAACUGGAGGACCGAACCGACUAAUGUUGAAAAAAUUAGCGGAUGACUUGUGGCUGGGGGGUGAAAGGCCAAUCAAACCGGGAGAUAGCUGGUUCUCCCCGAAAGCUAUUUAGGUAGCGCCUCGUGAAUUCAUCUCCGGGGGGUAGAGCACUGUUUCGGCAAGGGGGGUCAUCCCGACUUACCAACCCGAUGCAAACUGCGAAUACCGGAGAAUGUUAUCACGGGAGACACACGGCGGGUGCUAACGUCCGUCGUGAAGAGGGAAACAACCCAGACCGCCAGCUAAGGUCCCAAAGUCAUGGUUAAGUGGGAAACGAUGUGGGAAGGCCCAGACAGCCGUGAUGUUGGCUUAGAAGCAGCCAUCAUUUAAAGAAAGCGUAAUAGCUCACUGGUCGAGUCGGCCUGCGCGGAAGAUGUAACGGGGCUAAACCAUGCACCGAAGCUGCGGCAGCGACGCUUAUGCGUUGUUGGGUAGGGGAGCGUUCUGUAAGCCCUGUGAAGGUGUACUGUGAGGUAUGCUGGAGGUAUCAGAAGUGCGAAUGCUGACAUAAGUAACGAUAAAGCGGGUGAAAAGCCCGCUCGCCGGAAGACCAAGGGUUCCUGUCCAACGUUAAUCGGGGCAGGGUGAGUCGACCCCCUAAGGCGAGGCCGAAAGGCGUAGUCGAUGGGAAACAGGUUAAUAUUCCUGUACUUGGUGUUACUGCGAAGGGGGGGGGGACGGAGAAGGCUAUGUUGGCCGGGCGACGGUUGUCCCGGUUUAAGCGUGUAGGCUGGUUUUCCGUGCAAAUCCGGAAAAUCAAGGCUGAGGCGUGAUGACGAGGCACUACGGUGCUGAAGCAACAAAUGCCCUGCUUCCGAGAAAAGCCUCUAAGCAUCAGGUAACAUCAAAUCGUACCCCCAAACCGACACAGGUGGUCAGGUAGAGAAUACCAAGGCGCUUGAGAGAACUCGGGUGAAGGAACUAGGCAAAAUGGUGCCGUAACUUCGGGAGAAGGCACGCUGAUAUGUAGGUGAAGCGACUUGCUCGUGGAGCUGAAAUCAGUCGAAGAUACCAGCUGGCUGCAACUGUUUAUUAAAAAACACAGCACUGUGCAAACACGAAAGUGGACGUAUACGGUGUGACGCCUGCCCGGUGCCGGAAGGUUAAUUGAUGGGGGUUAGCGGUAACGCGAAGCUCUUGAUCGAAGCCCCGGUAAACGGCGGCCGUAACUAUAACGGUCCUAAGGUAGCGAAAUUCCUUGUCGGGUAAGUUCCGACCUGCACGAAUGGCGUAAUGAUGGCCGGGCUGUCUCCACCCGAGACUCAGUGAAAUUGAACUCGCUGUGAAGAUGCAGUGUACCCGCGGCAAGACGGAAAGACCCCCGUGAACCUUUACUAUAGCUUGACACUGAACAUUGAGCCUUGAUGUGUAGGAUAGGUGGGAGGCUUUGAAGUGUGGACGCCAGUCUGCAUGGAGCCGGCCUUGAAAUACCACCCUUUAAUGUUUGAUGUUCUAACGUUGGCCCCCUGAUCGGGGUUGCGGACAGUGUCUGGUGGGUAGUUUGACUGGGGGCGGUCUCCUCCUAAAGAGUAACGGAGGAGCACGAAGGUUGGCUAAUCCCUGGUCGGACAUCAGGAGGUUAGUGCAAUGGCAUAAGCCAGCUUGACUGCGAGCGUGACGGCGCGAGCAGGUGCGAAAGCAGGUCAUAGUGAUCCGGUGGUUCUGAAUGGAAGGGCCAUCGCUCAACGGAUAAAAAGGUACUCCGGGGAUAACAGGCUGAUACCGCCCAAGAGUUCAUAUCGACGGCGGUGUUUGGCACCUCGAUGUCGGCUCAUCACAUCCUGGGGCUGAAGUAGGUCCCAAGGGUAUGGCUGUUCGCCAUUUAAAGUGGUACGCGAGCUGGGUUUAGAACGUCGUGAGACAGUUCGGUCCCCUAUUCUGCCGUGGGCGCUGGAGAACUGAGGGGGGCUGCUCCUAGUACGAGAGGACCGGAGUGGACGCAUCACUGGUGUUCGGGUUGUCAUGCCAAUGGCACUGCCCGGUAGCUAAAUGCGGAAGAGAUAAGUGCUGAAAGCAUCUAAGCACGAAACUUGCCCCCGAGAUGAGUUCUCCCUGAGACUUUAAGUCUCCUGAAGGAACGUUGAAGACGACGACGUUGAUAGGCCGGGUGUGUAAGCGCAGCGAUGCGUUGAGCUAACCGGUACUAAUGAACCGUGAGGCUUAACCUUACAACGCCGAAGGUGUUU
rnacentral:rRNA from 1 species